AUUAAUCUUCACCAUGACCUGGGGACAUAUGGACAUUUGGGACUGGCGCACAAUCACCUUAACAUCCUGCAAACAAAAUGGGGAAAACAAAUCAUUGAUCUCCAGUCACCGGCAGAAACCUAUGAUUGACAGGAUGCUGUACAAGAGACCAGAAUCCCUGAAC